rnacentral:sRNA from 16 species
GCAUCUGGAAAUUCAGGUGCCGGGAUUGGUCUCCCGCCGAGAUUCACCGCGACAGAAUGACACGCCGCGAGCGUGUUUUUU